rnacentral:lncRNA from 1 species
GGGAAAGGGGCCCACGCAGUGCCUGGAGAGUCCCGCUGCGGGUCCCACGCGGGCUGGACCUCCCCACAGCGAUGCUGGGAUCCUGGGACGCUCUCAAGGCUUGAGAGCAGUCGAUUGAAGGGCUCUGAGACAACAAUCAAAGAAACUGGACCUUGAAAAGGAAGCGUGUGACAGUCAUUCUUCACCCAAGAAGCUAUAGUUCUGUGAGCCAUCUGGGCCCUGGCUCAAGAACGACGCUGAGGAUUCCCUUGCCCCAGCAACUCAUGGGAGUGGUCCGAAGACUCAAUUUCUAUUUCAUGAGUGAUGAUCCGCUA